rnacentral:sRNA from 1 species
CUUCCACACAGUAGUACUCCCGCUUUGCAUCUAACAGUUCAGAGGCUAAAGUUGCCACCACCACAGGGAUCUUCUGAGAGCUGCACAGUUAACAUCCCACAACAACCACCCGGAAGCCUGAGCAUCGCAUCACCAAACACUGCCUUUAUUCCUAUCCAUAACCCAGACUCCAUAUGCAAAUGGACUGGUACAUGACCCAGUCAUGGGGAGCCAAGCCAACUAUGGCAUGCAGCAGAUGGCAGGAUUUGGGAGAUUCUAUCCUGUAUAUCCAGCACCUAACGUAGUUGCCAACACCAGUGGUUCGGGGCCCAAGAAGAAUGGGAAUGUCUCAUGUUACAAUUGUGGUGUAAGCG